rnacentral:tRNA from 1 species
GCCGCAGGCUGCUGGGCGGCUUCCGGCAUCGGUUCCGCCGGUGCGGCAGCGCUCGCCUGCGGAGCGGCGGCCGGCUCGGGUGCCGGCUGCGCGGCG